rnacentral:misc_RNA from 1 species
AGCCCAUGCUGGAGUCCCAGUUUUGCGCUCUCUUCUGCAGUCCAAUAAGCUCUCUGUCUCAUCUAAGUCUUUCUAAUUUUGUUCUCAUUGUCAACUUGGAAAGCAUCAUAAACUUCCCUUUUCUGAUGUUUCUGUGCAUGCAUCGUCUCCUUUACAUGUUAUUCACACCGAUGUGUGGACUUCUCCUAUUAUCUCUAAUUCUGGAUUCAAAUAUUUUGUUAUUUUUGUUGAUGAAUUUUCUCGUUAUGUGUGGCUAUAUCCUAUGAGACUAAAAUCUGAAACAUUUGCCAAAUUCUUACAAUUUAUUUCAAUGGCCG